rnacentral:rRNA from 1 species
CUACGGGAGGCUGCAGUGGGGAAUAUUGCACAAUGGGGGAAACCCUGAUGCAGCGACGCCGCGUGAGUGAAGAAGUAUUUCGGUAUGUAAAGCUCUAUCAGCAGGGAAGAAAAUGACGGUACCUGACUAAGAAGCCCCGGCUAACUACGUGCCAGCAGCCGCGGUAAUACGUAGGGGGCAAGCGUUAUCCGGAUUUACUGGGUGUAAAGGGAGCGUAGACGGUGAGACAAGUCUGAAGUGAAAUCCCGGGGCUCAACCCCGGAACUGCUUUGGAAACUGCCUGACUAGAGUGCAGGAGAGGUAAGUGGAAUUCCUAGUGUAGCGGUGAAAUGCGUAGAUAUUAGGAGGAACACCAGUGGCGAAGGCGGCUUACUGGACUGUAACUGACGUUGAGGCUCGAAAGCGUGGGGAGCAAACAGGAUUAGAUACCCCGGUAGUC